GCCCAUUGCUCCUGGGCUACAAACCUGUACAGCCUGCUACUGUACUGGAUACUGUAGGCAGCUGUAGCACAAUGCGUCCUUUUCUCGCGCCUCUUCUUCAGCUACGUGUUCCUGUUCCAGUUUCAACAAUUCCUCAUUGGUCAGUUCCUCAGGAGCCACCUCCAGGAACUCCUCAGUGUCGUCCUCAUCCACACCCAGGUCAAUCACUCAACAUGGCCUCUUACUGGCAACAUAGCAGAUUUUGUAUGCUUAGGGACCAUGAUGAACAAAACAACAUGAGAUUAAAUCAAGCACAAGAGAAAUGAUGCACUCAAGAGCUGCAGUAAACACGAGAUGUAUCAGGCUGCUGCUGGCAUAAUACAGCAUACUAUUUUACAGUAAGCUUUUUUUAAUAAGCAGUAACAGUACACUCUAAAAUAAUGAUUAAAAGUAUAGUACAGUGAACACAUAAACCAGUAACAUAGUCGUUAACACCAUUAUCAAGUAUUAUGUACUGUACAUAAUCGUAUGUGCUACACUUUUAUACCACUGACAGCGCAGUAGGCUUGUCUACACCAGGAUCACCACAGACACAUGAGCAAUGCCUUGUGCUGCGACGCUACAACUGCUACAAAGUCACUAGGUGCUAGGAAUUUUUCAGCUCCAUUAUACUCCUAUGGAACCACCAUCAUACAUUCAGUCCGCUGUUGAUCAAAACAUUGUUACGCGGCACAUGACUGUAUUUCUCACAGUUCUGGCAGCUGGGACAUUUAAGAUCAAGUUGCUGGCAGAUUUGGUUCCUGGUGGGAGUCAUCCUCCUAGUCUGCAGACAGCUUCUCACUGAGUCCUCACAUGGUGGAAAGUGAAUGGACUCUAGUCUCUUCCUAUUCUUAUAAGGACACUAAUCUCACUGAUGAGAUUUUCACCCUUGUGACUUAAUUGUCUCCCAAAGGCCCCACUUGCAAAUCCCAUCACAUUGAGGAUGAUGACUUCAAUAUAUGAAUUUUAUUAGAACACAAACAUUCAGUUCAUAGCAAAGAUAUUUCAGCAGCUACCUUAUGCUGGGGAGACAGAGUUUGUCUUCAAACCUCACCCAAUGUAGAGGUCUUUGGCAAACUCUGGAAGCCUUCCUAUUGAAACCCCUAAGGGCCAUCCCUUAGGAGUAGAGACUAUGUUUUAGCCCCAAACUUAGGGCAAAACUGAAACAGAGCCAUCCUAGAAGAGCCUAAAAUGAAGUCUCCACAAGUUGAGGUGAUCCACCAGCAACUUAACUGCUCUGUGGAACAAAACUCAACACUCUUUGGAAAAGAAAACAGCCCAGAGUCUCUAGAACAUAUCAUUCAUAAUGUCCAGUAGAUAACCAAAUAUUACUGGACAGGCAGAUAACCAAACAUUACUAGACAUGCUGAAAAAAAACAGGAAAAUGUGACAAAUAUCAAGAAAUAAAAUAGUCAAUAGAAAUAGACCCACAGACAACACAGGUAUUAGAAUUAACAGAAAGAGCUCUUAAGUAACUGUGAGAAACGCCUGCGGCUCAGAUGAGAUGAGUGGAGGCACUUGCUUUGGGUGUAAAACUUGAGAAAGUUCCAAAAAUCUCAGUAAUCAAAAUAACAUAAUAAUGUAGCAUUUUAACAAAUCAAACUAAUGUAAAAGAAAUCAAUGAUACCUAAAAUAUAAAAAAUUUAAAUAAAGGCCAGAUCAACAACAAUGCUAUGAUAAGCCUUAUUGAAACCUGGAAAAAAAGGAAAAAUCAAAAUUAUUGAUCCUAUUUUACUCAAAAUUUUAGUAGGAAAAAAAUGAUAAAAUAUCAGGAAAAUUUUUUCCAAAUCUGAAUAAAACAUUGACCCACAGAUCUAAGAAGCUCAGCAAAACCCACACAGAACAAAUACAAAGAAAACCUCGCUGAGGUAUAUCUUAACCAAAUUGCCAAAAAAACGAAGAUAAAGAAAAAAAAAAUCUCAAAAGCAGCUAGAGAGAAAGACACAUUGCAAACAGGGAACAGUAACGAGAAUAGUGGCUGACUUCUCAUCAGAAAAACAUGGAGAACAGACAUCAUCAGGUAUCUUUAAAGAGCUGAAAGGGAAAAAAACAAAAACCUUCAACAGAGAUUCUAUAGCCAGUGAAAAUAUUCUUCAA
ensembl:lncRNA